rnacentral:lncRNA from 1 species
AUCUAAUUUUUUUGAGAAAAUGGGACUACGAAAUAGUCGGAAUCCUGAAAUCCAUCUAUGUAGAGAAAGAAGAAGAAAAAGAGAAAGAAAAAAAAGAAAUAAGAGAUGAAGAAAACGAACAAAUGAAAAAAAUGAAGAAGAAAAAAAAAAUUGAAAGAAAAAAAAAUGAGAAGAAAAACAAAAGAAGGGAAGAAAGAAGAA